rnacentral:rRNA from 1 species
AUUGAACGCUGGCGGCAGGCCUAACACAUGCAAGUCGAACGGUAACAGGAAGAAGCUUGCUUCUUUGCUGACGAGUGGCGGACGGGUGAGUAAUGUCUGGGAAACUGCCUGAUGGAGGGGGAUAACUACUGGAAACGGUAGCUAAUACCGCAUAACGUCGCAAGACCAAAGAGGGGGACCUUCGGGCCUCUUGCCAUCAGAUGUGCCCAGAUGGGAUUAGCUAGUAGGUGGGGCAACGGCUCACCUAGGCGACGAUCCCUAGCUGGUCUGAGAGGAUGACCAGCCACACUGGAACUGCGACACGGUCCAGACUCCUACGGGAGGCAGCAGUGGGGAAUAUUGCACAAUGGGCGCAAGCCUGAUGCAGCCAUGCCGCGUGUAUGAAGAAGGCCUCCGGGUUGUAAAGUACUUUCAGCGGGGAGGAAGGGAGUAAAGUUAAUACCUUUGCUCAUUGACGUUACCCGCAGAAGAAGCACCGGCUAACUCCGUGCCAGCCGCCGCAGUAA